AAUCUAGCCCCGGGCUGUCCUGUUUCGCGCGCUUCAAACGUCGUCCAUAUUGUAUUUCAUGACAUACGAGAAAGAUGUUAUACCUUUUGCUCCUAGAUAAAAAGGCUUAUGACGAAGAUUCAGUGACAAAUACAUAGUUACAGCUUCCAGUUCAGUGUUUGUAAUGAGCCACACUAGACAAAACACUGUGGCAGGCAACACUAGACAAUUUAAGAUGAUGGAAAUGGCAGGUUGUUUCAUGAUGAUGUUUUUGGUAUAGAGCGGAACUAUAAUGGAGGGGACAGACGUAGAUGAAACUUUUGAGAUAGAAGAUCUAAUGUUGUACUCCGAGAAGACAGUUCUGCUGGGAGUUUUGUGAUGUAGAGGUUUGAGAUUCUCUAAAUUUGACUUAAAGAUACUGGUAAUGAGAUUGGUUAAAUUAGACAUUUAAAAAAAAAGGAUGUUUUUAAGGGCCGAUGAUCCAUUUCCUUUAUUUUCUAAAUAUACAUGUUCCCAGAAAUGAAGUCUGCAGAUGACUAAUUGCAGUUUAACUACAUGCUGAAUUUUAGUUUAGGAAUCAUGGGAAGAAUUGACUUUCAACUUUAUCUUUUAAACCCUAAUUAUAAUUUAUUUAUUCAGUAUAUUUUAAAC